rnacentral:RNase_P_RNA from 1 species
GGUGUACAGGCAAGGUACAUAGUUACCACGUUUUCACCUCGGGAAGGUCUGAGAUUCAGUCAAUAAACGUUCUAGCCGGACGGUAUCAUAAGGGUACGUACGGGAACCAGAAAUAGCUUUUUGUUGCCAAUUAGCCCAGGAAACUUCGCUCGAAGUAGAGGUGCUUGGAAACGAAAAGAUGGAACCCCGUAUGAUUCGCUAUUUGAGUACAAUCCGCAAGCCAAAAGACUUAUACUUUGGAACUCAAUUCAGACUAAUCUGAAGCUGCU